GAAUAAUGAAAACACAAAACAGAUUUACCAUUCUUAAUAAGAGAAAGAGAUAAUGAAGGCAAAUUAAAAUGGAAGCUCAGAUCUGCAUGGAGAACAGGCUGGAGCUCUACGAUGAACAGGAGCUCUCCGUGUUUGCAAGACGGACUCCUAAGGCUGGUCAGGAUCUCCCUGAGAAGGUCACAUUGAACCUGAGCCCUGGUAAAUAACCUGG
rnacentral:lncRNA from 1 species